UACGUAGGGGCCUAGCGUUGUCCGGAUUUAUUGGGCGUAAAGGGUGCGUAGGCGGGUCUUUAAGUCAGGGGUGAAAUCCUGGAGCUCAACUCCAGAACUGCCUUUGAUACUGAAGAUCUUGAGUUCGGGAGAGGUGAGUGGAACUGCGAGUGUAGAGGUGAAAUUCGUAGAUAUUCGCAAGAACACCAGUGGCGAAGGCGGCUCACUGGCCCGAUACUGACGCUGAGGCACGAAAGCGUGGGGAGCAAACAGG
rnacentral:rRNA from 1 species